AGUCUUAUAGUCAAUAGUAAUGAUAUAAAAUUGCAAAUUUUAAGGAGUAUGUAAUUAAAAUACUAAGGCUU
rnacentral:tRNA from 1 species